rnacentral:rRNA from 1 species
GACGGGGGGAGCAAGCGUUGUUCGGAUUUACUGGGCGUAAAGGGCGCGUAGGCGGCGUGACAAGUCACUUGUGAAAUCUCCGGGCUUAACUCGGAGCGGUCAAGUGAUACUGUCGUGCUAGAGUGCGGAAGGGGCUACUGGAAUUCUCGGUGUAGCGGUGAAAUGCGUAGAUAUCGAGAGGAACACCUGCGGCGAAGGCGGGUAGCUGGGCCGACACUGACGCUGAUGCGCGAAAGCCAGGGGAGCGAACGGG